CCUACGGGAGGCAGCAGUGGGGAAUAUUGGACAAUGGGGGCAACCCUGAUCCAGCCAUGCCGCGUGUAUGAAGAAGGCCCUCGGGUUGUAAAGCACUUUCAGUGAGGAAGAACGCCUGGUGGUUAAUACCCAUCAGGAAAGACAUCACUCACAGAAGAAGCACCGGCUAACUCCGUGCCAGCAGCCGCGGUAAUACGGAGGGUGCGAGCGUUAAUCGGAAUUACUGGGCGUAAAGCGCGCGUAGGUGGCUUGAUAAGCCGGUUGUGAAAGCCCCGGGCUCAACCUGGGAACGGCAUCCGGAACUGUCAAGCUAGAGUGCAGGAGAGGAAGGUAGAAUUCCCGGUGUAGCGGUGAAAUGCGUAGAGAUCGGGAGGAAUACCAGUGGCGAAGGCGGCCUUCUGGACUGACACUGACACUGAGGUGCGAAAGCGUGGGUAGCAAACAGGAUUAGAUACCCCAGUAGUC
rnacentral:rRNA from 1 species